AACAUCCAUGUUCAAAUAGGAAUGCUGAAGACAGUCGCUUCUAUGUUAGGCCCAGAAGCCUUCUAUGUUAGGCCCAGAAGCCUUCUAUGUUAGGCCCAGAACCCUUCCAUUUUAGGCCCAGAAGCCUUCUAUGUUAGGCCCAGAACCCUUCCAUUUUAGGCCCAGAAGCCUUCUAUGUUAGGCCCAGAACCCUUCCAUUUUAGGCCCAGAAGCCUUCUAUGUUAGGCCCAGAACCCUUCUAUGUUAGGCCCAGAACCCUUCCAUUUUAGGCCCAGAAGCCUUCUAUGUUAAGCCCAGAAGCC